CCUACGGGGGGCAGCAGUGGGGAAUAUUGCACAAUGGGCGCAAGCCUGAUGCAGCCAUGCCGCGUGUGUGAAGAAGGCCUUCGGGUUGUAAAGCACUUUCAGCGGGGAGGAAGGCGGUGAGGUUAAUAACCUCAUCGAUUGACGUUACCCGCAGAAGAAGCACCGGCUAACUCCGUGCCAGCAGCCGCGGUAAUACGGAGGGUGCAAGCGUUAAUCGGAAUUACUGGGCGUAAAGCGCACGCAGGCGGUCUGUCAAGUCGGAUGUGAAAUCCCCGGGCUCAACCUGGGAACUGCAUUCGAAACUGGCAGGCUAGAGUCUUGUAGAGGGGGGUAGAAUUCCAGGUGUAGCGGUGAAAUGCGUAGAGAUCUGGAGGAAUACCGGUGGCGAAGGCGGCCCCCUGGACAAGGACUGACGCUCAGGUGCGAAAGCGUGGGGAGCAAACAGGAUUAGAUACCCGAGUAGUC
rnacentral:rRNA from 1 species